rnacentral:lncRNA from 1 species
GGAAGUUCCCAGGCCAGGGGUUGAAUCGGAGCUGCAGCUGCAGUCUAUGCCACAGGCACAGCAACAUCAGAUGCUCAACCCACUGAGCCAGGCCAGGAAUAGAAUCCACAUCCUCACAGAGACAAUGUUGGGUCCUUAACCCACUGAGCCACAGUGGAAGUGCCUAAUUUUGCUUUUUUUAAAUAGAAGAGUGUGGUGGACAUGUAUAUCAUAUAUUGUAGCAAGUAAUAAAAAGAGUGCAAAUAAAAUAAAGGGAAGAAUAAAUAAAUUGCCAAGACCUUGUAAGGCUUACCAUCAAGAAAUUCAUUUACAAUAUAACAUGGUGGUAGGAAUGUGAAAUUUGGGCAGCUGCUAUAGAAAACAAUUUGGAGAUUCUUCAAAACAUUAAAAAUUGAACUACCGUACGAUCCAGCAAUUCCAUUCCUGGGAAUACAUCUGAAGAAAAAAGAAAACAAUUCAAAAGGGUAUAUGCACCCCAGUGUUCACAGAAGCAUUAUUUAAAAUAGCCAAGAUAUAGAAGCAACCUAAAUGUCCAUCAACAGAUGAAUAAGGAAGAUGUGGUACAUAUGCAUAAAAUGAAAUAUAUUCAGCCAUGAAAAGAAUGAAAUUUUGCCAUUUGCAAAAACAUGGAUGGACUUGGAGGGUAUUAAGUUUAAUGAAGUAAGCCAUACAGAGAUAGACAAAUACUGUAUGUUUUCAUUUACAUGUGGAAUCUAAAAAAAACAAGUGAAUGAGUAUAACAAAAGAGAAACAGACUCACAGAUAUAAUAGAGAACUAGUGGUUACCAGUAGGGAGAAGGACCAGGAGAGGGUAAGCUAGGGGAAGAGGACAAAGAGGAACAGAGUGCUAAGUGUAAAAUAAAGAUACAGUGAUAUAAUGUACAGCACAGGGAAUAUAGCCAUUAUUUUAUAACUUUAAAAUGAAGUAUACUCUCUAAAAAUAUUGAAUCCCUUGCUAUACAUCUGAAACUAAUAUAAUUCUGUAAAUCAAAUGUACUGCAAUAAAAAAACACCUGUGAUUUAAAUAAAACAUUCCAUGUAAUAUGGCCAGUGUCUCAGGAUCAACCAUUUCCCUUUCCAUCUAAUGAUCAAUAGUUUCUUUUUUUUGUGUCUUAUCCAAAAACUGAUAAUGAUUUGAAUGGAAGUAGAAUAACUAAUUUUGCAAUUCAUUUAUAUACUAUACAAACAGAAUUCAAACUGAUGUAUUUACCCUUCUUAUGUGUUAUAUAAGACUAAAACUAAUUUAGUUAUACAAAACUAAAGUUUUUCUUAUUUAAUAAAGUUAUCUUUGGACUACAUUUAGGUGCCUCACAAUAAAAAAAUAUUUCUAAUUUUCUUGUUGCUUUAUCUUUAUAUCUAUCCUAUGUGAGAAAACAAAAAUUUCUGUGGCCAGAAUUAUUAAUUUUCCACACUAUGACCAACUUCAAUAGCUAUUUCCUUCUACUUUUAAAAAGCACUGUUCCUUAUUUUCCUACUUCUCUACAGUUUCUUGAAAACUGUUAAAGAAAACCUUUUUUCCUGUGCAUGUGGCAUGUGGAAGGAAGUUCCCAAGCCAAGAAUCAAACCCGAGCCACAAAAGCAACCCAAGCCACUGCAGUGAAAGUGCCAGAUACUGAACCCACUACACCACAAGGUAACUCUAAGGAGAACUUUCUAUAUCUAAAGGUAUUAAAGAGAAAAAUAGUCACAUUAAGAUUGUUUCACAAUAAUUACAUAGAGUUGAAGAAUUUGCAAUUUAUAAAUUCUAGAAAGCCAAAGUCAAAUCUUGUUUUCUCUAACAUAAAAUGUGAACAAUAUACAUAAGGGUUUUAUCUUAACAGUUGUUUACAGAAGGAAAUGUGUGAAUAAAAGACACUUCAGAUAUGAACCGGAAAAUAAUAUAAAUCCAUAUUAUACACAAUUAUAUUAUUUUUAAAAUUUUUUCACCAUCAAUAAAGCAUCAUGCUUUAGUCAAGCCAGCCAGCUUACGUUCUUAAAAAUAUAUUCAGCCAUUAAAAGGAAAGAAAUAAUGGCAUUUGCAGCAACAUGGAUGGACCUAGAGAUUAUCAUGCUAAAUGAAGUCAGUCAGACAAUGAGACACCAACAUCAAAUGCUUUCACUGACAUGUGGAAUCUAAGAAAAUGACACAAUGAACUUAUUUGCAGAACAGAUACUGACUCACAGACUUUGAAAAACUUAUGGUUUCCAAAGGAGAUAGGUUGGGGGGUGGGGGGAUGCACUGAGGUUUUGGGAUGGAAAUGCUGUAAAAUUUGGUUGUGAUGAUUGCUGUACACCUAUAAAUGUAAUAAAAUUCAUUAAGUAAUUUUAAAAAAUAAAAAACAAAAAUGACAAAUUUUUAUGUAUUCUAUUUUGCUAGAAAAUAUACAUAUCAAGGGUUAGCCUUUUAUAAUGUAUUUCCUCACACAGCUGGGGUCUCCCCUGCUCUUGAAAUGCUCACAGCACUUUUAAGAAUUAUUUAUUUAUCUGCAUGAUACAAAAGGAGGAUUCAUCUUGAGACCUACCCUCUAGAAACCCUUUCCAGACUCAUAUAUUAGCAUGACCUUUUCGAAACACUCUUCAUGAUGGUUAUCUCUCCAUUUGUCCUAACUAUAUCCCACACAUAACUUUUGUUAUAACAUUUAAAACCACCUCCAGCAAUUAUGCAUUUAUUUACCAGUCUGCCCCACCAAAGUGUUAUUAUUCAUAGACAGGAUCAAGUUUGAUUCACCUCUACAUCUCUAAAAAAUUCACAGAAAACAGUUAGUAAAAGUUGAAUGAAUGAACAUGGCCUUUGUCAUCAAAGUCUUUUAUUCCAAUUAAGCACCUUUUGAGUAAAACCUAAAAUAGACGGUGUUCUUGAAAAUACAUUUCUAAAAGUAGUUCAAGGUAAGGAUGGAACUGGUUGUCAUGCCAGCACACAACUCUGCAAAAUGAAUUGAUCAGAUAAUAAAUGCUAUCAAAGUUUAUGGAAGCAGAGAUUAUGUCAUGUGAGGUGCUCCAGGAAGGCUUUGCAGCAGAAGUGAGAACUGAGCACCGUAUCAUAGGCUGAGUUGGUUGUGAGUAGUACAAAGGAUCUUCUGGGAAAGGCGCCAAUGACAGCAUCACCAUUUUACAAAAGUGGUGACUGAUCCAAUUAGCUGGAGCAGAGGGUCCUUUUGUGAAGAAAGAUAGGAAGAGAAGGAUAAGCUGUUUUUACAUUAGGAAGAGUCUUUAAUGAGUGGCUAAAGAGAUUUUUUUUUUCCAAUAGAGAAGUCAUCUAAAAUUUUGUUUAUAAUGGCUAAUCAAAGUGGCACUGCAGAAGGAUGAGUCUGCCUUUAGAGUGUAGAAGGGAUAAGAACUGAAGGGAUAGAUGAGAUGGGAGGAUAUGAUUUGGAAGCUUGCUGCAACAAGACAAACACUAUCCAAUAAGGACUUAGAGUAGAAAAGCUUGCAGUAAAAAGGAAGGAUUAAAUGCAAGUGAUAUUGUCAAGAAUAAUCCACAGAAACUCCAAGACUGGAGGGUUAUGGAGCUUAAGAAUGCAGACAGCAAAAGGAAGGCUAUUAGUAUUAGAUUGCAAGUCUUUGUAAAGUGAAAAUUUUCACUAAAAGAAAAAGUAGACUCAAGAGGCUAAGGAGCUAUAUAAAGCAAAAAGCUGUUUCAUUCCAGACACACUAAACUUGAGCUGAUAGCCAGCUAAUCAAGCAGAAAUGCUAGGCGAGCAAUUGGAAAAGCAGACCUUUGAGAAAUGAAAGGACUAGACAUUUAAUGGGAAUCAUUCUCUGGAAUGAAGGUUUAAGUCCGGAGAAUAAAGGAGGUGUGCCAAAAAGAGAGGACGAAGAAAAAUUAGGUUAGACCUGCAAAUGGACAAAGUAUCCACAUUUAAGAUGUAGGAGGGUAGAGAAGAAGGAGGUGGAAGAUGAUCAGAGAGAUAGCAGAAGGAUGAGGACAGUUGGAUGGUAGAAGUUGGGGAUGAAAGAGUUUUCAGGCAGAGGGGUGGGGAGAGCAGAGAGCUCAGUGGUACCCAUGGGACAAGGAGACUUAGGACAAGAAGUCAUUGUACUUAACCUCAGGAGGUUAGCAAACCUAGAAGGCAGGUGACAGCAACGUUAUGAGGAGUUUGGGAAUGAAGGGCUUAGAAAAAGAAGCAGAGGUUUUCCUGGUCCAGCCAGAAAGUUUGGAAGUGAAAAGGAGAAAAGAGGAAUUAGCUAGAAAGAACAAUAAGAUACGGAGGAGGUGCUUAAGAUAGGAGAAACCAGAGUAUUUUUAUACAUAGAGGGAAGGUAGAAGGAGAUCCUAAAAAAGCUUUGGAUAGUUUAAAAGGGAGUUUGAUAUAUAAAACAUACUUAUUUUGAGAUAAAUUUUAUAUUUAGCAGUUUGACAAUUUUAAUGUAAUUUUUUCCAAACUCUAUACUCUUCAAGGAGUAAUGACUGAUGAAAACCUUGUGCUUCCUUCCGAAUGUGCUUUCAGAUUUUUUCAAGAUCUUAGGAACUUUUAACUUAAAUUUCUUGAUCUCUAUUCAAUAGGUUUAUAUGUCUACUAAAUAUUGUUUGGCUCUGUUGUUUAAAGACAAGUCAGGAUUUCCUAUUGUGGCUCGGCAGGUUACAAACCCAACUAAUAUCGAUGAGGAUAUGGUUCAAUCCCCGGCCUCACUCAGUGCAUUAAGGAUCUGGUGUUGCUUCAAGCUGUCCUAUAGGUCAAGGAUGUGGCUCAGAUCUGCUGCUGCUGUGGCUUUGGCAUCAGCCAGCAGCUGCAGCUCUGAUUCUGAUUCGACCCCUAUCCUGGGAACU